ensembl:rRNA 5S_rRNA 5S ribosomal RNA
UGCCACAGACAUAUCACCCUGCAGCCCAAGACUGGUUACUCUCUGAAGCUAAGCGGGGCUGAGCCUGGUCAGUAACGGGAUGGGAGACCACAAGGGAAAGCUAGGUUACUGUUGGAA